CAGGUGUCAGAUGGGACAACCAUCCCCGAGUCCUGUGGGCCACGACCAAAAGUGAAUUCCUCCUAAGAACGGAACGAUGACAUCUCACGCCAUUUUUAUUUUGGACUUCCUUUUCAGAGGUAGUUUAUUUGGGUGAGAACUGGGCUUUACUUUGGCCCUUGCCGUCUUCGACACCUGCCUCUCAGCCUACCUGCUUUGUCUCUGUCAGGCCUACAUCCUGAGAAACACUAGCAUUAUUAUUGCAUAACAGGUAUUUCACAAACCUAUGCCUGGGUUCAAGAGAAGUAAAACAGCCAGAUAUUUGAGGU